rnacentral:misc_RNA from 1 species
GAUUCCAUUGUAUGGGUAAUGUUUAUGCCAUGUAUUAUGGAAACUGAUACUGUUGGUUGUUGAGGUCCUUCAGAAUUGAAGACACAUCAUAUAGGUUGGCUUCAAGUUCUCAAAAACAUUCAUAUUCUAAUUCUAAACUCUGCCCAUUGAUGGCAUAUUAGUGUUCAUUCUUGACACAAGCAUAUAGAAUUUUUUCUUCAGUUUAUGUAUUCCCUCAUUCUCU